UGGGGAAUAUUGGACAAUGGGCGCAAGCCUGAUCCAGCCAUGCCGCGUGAGUGAGGAAGGCCCUAGGGUUGUAAAGCUCUUUCACCGGUGAAGAUAAUGACGGUAACCGGAGAAGAAGCCCCGGCUAACUUCGUGCCAGCAGCCGCGGUAAUACGAAGGGGGCUAGCGUUGUUCGGAUUUACUGGGCGUAAAGCGCACGUAGGCGGACUUUUAAGUCAGGGGUGAAAUCCCGGGGCUCAACCCCGGAACUGCCUUUGAUACUGGAAGUCUUGAGUAUGGUAGAGGUGAGUGGAAUUCCGAGUGUAGAGGUGAAGUUCGUAGAUAUUCGGAGGAACACCAGUGGCGAAGGCGGCUCACUGGACCAUUACUGACGCUGAGGUGCGAAAGCGUGGGGAGCAAACAGG
rnacentral:rRNA from 1 species